UACAGAGGAUGCAAGCGUUAUCCGGAAUGAUUGGGCGUAAAGCGUCUGUAGGUGGCUUUUUAAGUCCGCCGUCAGAUCCCAGGGCUCAACUCUGGACAGGCGGUGGAAACUACCAAGCUGGAGUACGGUAGGGGCAGAGGGAAUUUCCGGUGGAGCGGUGAAAUGCGUAGAGAUCGGAAGAACACCGGUGGCGAAGGCGGCCCGCUGGGCAGGAAGACACCGCAAGGUGUCGGCUGACGCUGAGGCGCGACAGCGUGGGGAGCAAACAGG
rnacentral:rRNA from 1 species